UUUCCACUGGUUUAAUUAACUCUUUACCACUCAUAAGCGUGUCUUGACGCAUGUCCGUAAUUUCCGCAAAAGCGUGUCUGGACGCACGCAUCGUAUUUACUCACAAGUGACCGAGGACGCAUCACCAUCUUUUCCUCAGAAGCGUGUUUCCCCGUGUACCUAUUUUUAAACCGGAUAUCUCGGUCACUGGCCAUGACUCGUGUGAAGGACGCAUACUUGCGUGUAGCUCUGUGAUUGGUCAAUAAAAUUAGAAACUUUUUAUAGUUCAACACUUUGACCUUGUGACGUAAUUCAGUCAGGAAAUACUACAUGUCAAGUUGUAAAAGCUUGCGUAGCAACAUAAUGGCGGCCGAGUCGGGAAUGGAUUCGGGCGUCGAAAUAGAGGCGUUUUUCGACUCGGAUGACUUGGAAUCAGACAGAUUUGAAGGGUUUUCAAAUCGGGGAUUCUGACAUUGAAAGUGACGUGGUUUUCAGUAGUGAUAGUGAAUCGGGUGGCAACGACAGCGACGAUGCGAACACAGAUGCGUUUGACCCAACACAUUGGUACGGGGAUCAACAUGGCGAACUUCACGAUGUGAUAAUACGUGCUUUCAAUCAGGAAACAGGACCAGUAUUACCAGUUGGAUUUGACAUCAAUACUGCAACGCCAAAAGAAUACUUUGAUCUUGUAUUUAAACCUGAAAUUGUCACGGACAUUGUAAACUUUACCAAUGACUACGCCAGGUGGAAAUGUGAAAAAAGCGCCGAGAAGAUCCUAUUUGGUACGAGGUUACUGAAAAUGAAAUAUGUGCUUAUCUUGGUAUGCUCAUAUUUAUGGGCGUGAAUCAGAUGCCCUCAUACAAAGACUUUUGGUCUAAAGAUACUUUUUAGGAAAAGAUGGUAUCAAAUCUGUAAUGACGGUUAAAAUAUAUGAGAAAAUUACUGAGUAUUUCCAUGUGAGUGACAGAAGAGGAGAAGACAAUCAGACUGCAGACAAACUUUACAAAGUGAGACAAGUUAAUCGGAGUACGGAUCUAUAGAUUUGUUGUACAGAUCUAUACAAUGAUACAUGUAAUAACAAUAAGCAGCUCCUCGUUCAAGGAAGGCCCAACGUUAGAAUCAGCAAGCAGCAACUUGAAGCGGUAUUGAGGAAAAGUGGGGGUAGUCCCACCUACUUAGCCAGGCAUUUGCUAAUGGUCUUCUUUGACCAGGACACCUUAGCAAAGAGUUGUGCCAGAGGGACUAGUAAUCGGCCAGCUCUAGACAAAGAGAUUUUGAGCGCAAUACUGGAGUAAUGUGAUGACAAAAUAUCCACAAGUGGGCGAAAGAACACUUAUUCAAGCUGUAAAUGGAAAGUGCUCAGAUUUGAGGAUGACCCUUAAACUGAAGUGACUGUGCACAUGACUGAUGCCACUUUUGUGUUUGC